UCUGAAUUCCGAAUUUACUCGCGUUAGCUGGAAACAGACAUAUUUUUGUUAUCAAAUAGUAUUUAGAGGUUCAAGAUGUCAAUCUUGUUAAAACACCUCAGUGGGAACUGUAUCGAUUUAAAGACACUACAUUUCAAGUGUACACAGUUCUUCUAGUUUACUCGAUACCUGAGGACUCUUUAAUCUUAACCCUUGUCCAAAAAUGUAACUUUUGAAAAGGAUUUUAUCUAUAUUAUUGGCAAAUUUUUGCAUCAAACUUCCGACAUUGCAAACAAUUAGUGAUAUAAUUCACAGCAGAUGUUUUCACCCCUCCAAAUUUCCCUCUGUGCUGGGACACCUUAGACAUAACCUGGAAUAAAAGUUUGACCCAUUAGGAGUCUUUGAAGUAAAGGGAUUAAACUAUUGUUUGUGUGGAAAAACAUCUCUCUUUAGAAACAAAGGGGCAAUGCAAGGACACCUGCUCAGAGCAAGGGGUUUCAACGGAAAAUAAGGACCAACUCCGUGUAUUUCCAUUUCGAAUAAAAACGAUCAUAAAUCAUA